rnacentral:rRNA from 1 species
CUGGCGUGGCCUACACAUGCAGUCGACGGCAGCACAGGAGAGCUUGCUCUCUGGGUGGCGAGUGGCGGACGGGUGAGGAAUACAUCGGAAUCUACUUUUUCGUGGGGGAUAACGUAGGGAAACUUACGCUAAUACCGCAUACGACCUACGGGUGAAAGCAGGGGAUCUUCGGACCUUGCGCGAUUGAAUGAGCCGAUGUCGGAUUAGCUAGUUGGCGGGGUAAAGGCCCACCAAGGCGACGAUCCGUAGCUGGUCUGAGAGGAUGAUCAGCCACACUGGAACUGAGACACGGUCCAGACUCCUACGGGAGGCAGCAGUGGGGAAUAUUGGACAAUGGGCGCAAGCCUGAUCCAGCCAUACCGCGUGGGUGAAGAAGGCCUUCGGGUUGUAAAGCCCUUUUGUUGGGAAAGAAAUCCAGCUGGCUAAUACCCGGUUGGGAUGACGGUACCCAAAGAAUAAGCACCGGCUAACUUCGUGCCAGCAGCCGCGGUAAUACGAAGGGUGCAAGCGUUACUCGGAAUUACUGGGCGUAAAGCGUGCGUAGGUGGUCGUUUAAGUCCGUUGUGAAAGCCCUGGGCUCAACCUGGGAACUGCAGUGGAUACUGGGCGACUAGAGUGUGGUAGAGGGUAGCGGAAUUCCUGGUGUAGCAGUGAAAUGCGUAGAGAUCAGGAGGAACAUCCAUGGCGAAGGCAGCUACCUGGACCAACACUGACACUGAGGCACGAAAGCGUGGGGAGCAACAGGAUUAGAUACCCUGGUAGUCCACGCCCUAAACGAUGCGAACUGGAUGUUGGGUGCAAUUUGGCACGCAGUAUCGAAGCUAACGCGUUAAGUUCGCCGCCUGGGGAGUACGGUCGCAAGACUGAAACUCAAAGGAAUUGACGGGGGCCCGCACAAGCGGUGGAGUAUGUGGUUUAAUUCGAUGCAACGCGAAGAACCUUACCUGGCCUUGACAUGUCGAGAACUUUCCAGAGAUGGAUUGGUGCCC